rnacentral:rRNA from 1 species
UGAGGAAUAUUGGGCAAUGGGCGAGAGCCUGACCCAGCAACGCCGCGUGGAGGAAGACGGCCUUCGGGUUGUAAACUCCUUUUGACAGGGAAGAGAGAGGACGGUACCUGUCGAAUAAGUCACGGCUAACUACGUGCCAGCAGCCGCGGUAAUACGUAGGUGACAAGCGUUAUCCGGAAUUACUGGGCGUAAAGCGCACGCAGGCGGCUGCUUAAGUCUGACGUGAAAUCUCCUGGCUUAACUGGGAGGGGUCGUUGGAAACUGGGUGGCUUGAGGUGGUGAGAGGGGUGCAGAAUUCCCGGUGUAGUGGUGGAAUGCGUAGAUAUCGGGAGGAAUACCAGUGGCGAAAGCGGCACCCUGGCACUGACCUGACGCUCAUGUGCGAAAGCGUGGGGAGCAAACG